rnacentral:rRNA from 1 species
UACGUAGGUGACCAGCGUUGUCCGGAUUUACUGGGCGUAAAGAGCGCGCAGGCGGUCGUUCAAGUCGAGUGUGAAAGCCCCCGGCUCAACUGGGGAGGGUCAUUCGAUACUGAUCGACUUGAAGGCAGGAGAGGGAAGUGGAAUUCCCGGUGUAGUGGUGGAAUGCGUAGAUAUCGGGAGGAACACCUGUGGCGAAAGCGGCUCACUGGACCACAACUGACGCUGAUGCACGAAAGCUAGGGGAGCAAACAGG